rnacentral:rRNA from 1 species
UACGUAGGCAGCGAGCGUUGUUCGGAGUUACUGGGCGUAAAGGGUGUGUAGGCGGUUGUUUAAGUUUGGUGUGAAAUCUCCCGGCUCAACUGGGAGGGUGCGCCGAAUACUGAAUGACUUCGAGUGCGGGAGAGGAGAGUGGAAUUCCCGGUGUAGCGGUGAAAUGCGCAGAUAUCGGGAAGAACACCCGUGGCGAAGGCGGUUCUCUGGGACGGUACUGACGCUGAGACGCGAAAGCGUGGGGAGCGAACAGG